GACGAACGCUGGCGGCGUGCUUAACACAUGCAAGUCGAACGGAAAGGCCUCUUUCGGGGUGUACUCGAGUUGCGAACGGGCGAGUAACACGCGAGUAACCUGCCUUCGUCUUUGGGUUAACUUCAGGAAACUGGGGCUAGUACCGGAUAGGAGCUCCUGCGGCAUGGUGGGGGCUGGAGAGUUUCGCCGGUUGGGGAUGGGUUGGCGGCUUAUCGGCUUGUUAGUGGGGAAGUGGUUUACCAAGGUGUUGACGGGUAGCCGGACUGUGAGGGUGACCGGCGAUACUGAGACCUAGGUGCGGCCCAGACAGCGAAGGGUGGCAGCAGUGGGGAAUAUUGACGGAUGGGUGGAAGCCUGAUGCAGAAACGCCGCGGGUGGGAUGACGGCCUUAGGGUUGUAAACCGCUUUCGCUAGUGACGAAGCUUUGUGUGACGGUAGUGGGUAAAGAAGCAACGGCUAACUACGUG
rnacentral:rRNA from 1 species